rnacentral:rRNA from 1 species
UACGAAGGGGGCUAGCGUUGCUCGGAAUUACUGGGCGUAAAGGGCGCGUAGGCGGGAUGGCAAGUCGGUCGUGAAAUCCCUCGGCUCAACUGAGGAUCGUCGAUCGAUACUGCCGUUCUUGAGGAUUGCAGAGGAGACUGGAAUUCCCGGUGUAGCGGUGAAAUGUGUAGAGAUCGGGAGGAACACCGGUGGCGAAGGCGGGUCUCUGGGCAAUUCCUGACGCUGAGGCGCGAAAGCGUGGGGAGCAAACGGG